UUGAGAGGAUGAUCAGCAACACUGGGACUGAGACACGGCCCAGACUCCUACGGGAGGCAGCAGUGGGGAAUCUUAGACAAUGGGCGCAAGUGUAUCUAGCCAUGCCGCGUGAGUGACGAAGGCCUUAGGGUCGUAAAGCUCUUUCGCCAGGGAUGAUAAUGACAGUACCUGGUAAAGAAACCCCGGCUAACUCCGUGCCAGCAGCCGCGGUAAUACGGAGGGGGUUAGCGUUGUUCGGAAUUACUGGGCGUAAAGCGCGCGUAGGGGAUUGGAAAGUUGGGGGUGAAAUCCCGGGGCUCAACCCCGAACUGCCUCCAAAACUAUCAGUCUAGAGUUCGAGAGAGGUGAGUGGAAUUCCAAGUGUAGAGGUGAAAUUCGUAGAUAUUUGGAGGAACACCAGUGGCGA
rnacentral:rRNA from 1 species